UAUAUAACUCAGGUGGUAGAGAAUGAGGCUUGUACUCUCAGGGUUGUGGGUUCCAGCCCCACACUGGGCAAAA